UACAUUCUUUCUCUGAUGUUAAAACCUUCU
rnacentral:piRNA from 1 species